AAGUGAUAGGAAGUGUAAAAACUGUGGUACUAAGCACAAAUUUGCUAUAACAAUAUUUCUGCUUCAACAACUCAAUGCUGAAUCUGAAAUGAAUUGGAAAAAAUAGAUCAGUUUCAAAACAUUGAUGUCCAGUUCACAAAAGCAAAGUUUAAAGGGAAUAGUAGUCAUUUCCUUUGAUUUCUAGAUUGAACCAAAUAGGAAAUAGCACUUACGAACCAAA